AGGAGCGUAGUUUAAAAAACAUCAAGUUUGCAUCUUGAAGAUGGCCAUGCCCGUUCUCA
rnacentral:tRNA from 1 species